GGAAGGGGAAAUGGGAAGUGACUAAUGUGCACAGGGUUUCUUUUUGGGGUGAUGAGACUGUUCUGGAAUUAGACAGUGGUGAUGGCUGCACAACUUGGUGAACACAUUAAAAGCCACUGAAUUGUACACUUUAAAAGCAUGAAUUUUAUGGCAUGGGAAUUGCAUCUCAAGGAGGGGGAGAGGGAGGAGAUAAAUCUGGGAUCUGAAGAAGCACAACAUUUAAAGACUGUGGAAGAGAGUGUCCCCGGGAGGAGGAGACUAGGAGAGAGUGAGCCAAGAGGUAGAAAGAAAGCCAGAGAUAGAGGCUGUCAGUGGAGGCCGAAGGAGUGUUGUUUCAAAAGGAGGAAUGGGAAUCUGUGAAGUUUGCCGAGAGGCAAGGAGGAGGAAGAGUGAAAGCAGUCACUUCAGCAGCCGAGGACAAGAUAGGGUGGUGACUGAAUCCUAGGGAUGUAGCAUGAGGACAGGCCUGUGACUAUACAAGUGAGGAUGUUGUUCCGCACAGGCGAGAACCACUGGUCCAUUACGGCGCCUGCCUCAUCCAGAGCUGAGAGGCCCAGGGUCACCCGGCGCCGCCGGAGGGCAGCCACACCCAGAAUUCCAGCCCCGCACUUCGCGCCAGCUCCCCACGGCGGCGGCCU